AACAAUCGCUGGCGGUACGCUUACCACACUCAAGUCGUACGAACAAAAUUGGGGCUUGCUCCAAUUUUAGUGAGUGGCAAACGGGUGAGUAACACGUGGGAAUCUACCUAUCAGUACGGAAUAACAUUUGGAAACAGAUGCUCAUACCGUAUAUUCUCCAAGGAGGAAAGAUUUAGCGCUGAUAGAUGAGCCCGCUUAAGAUUAGGUAGUUGGUAGUGUAAUGGCCUACCAAGCCGACGAUCUUUAGCUGGUCUGAGAGGAUGAUCAGGCACCCUGGAACCGGUCCACGGCACAGACUCGCACGGGAGGCAGCAGUGGGGAAUGUUGGACAAUGGGCGAAAGCCUGGUCCAGCAAUACCGAGUGAAGGAUGAAGGCCAUAGGGUUGUAAAGUGCUUUUAGUUGGAAAGAUAAUGACGGUGCCAACAGAACAAGCCCCGGCUAACUCCGUGCCAGCCGCCGCAGUAA
rnacentral:rRNA from 1 species